UGGGAUGUCGCCAAGUGGUAAGGCACAUGGUUUUGGUCCAUGCAUUCGGGGGGUUCGAAUCCCUCCAUCCCAGCCA
rnacentral:tRNA from 1 species